AUUUAGUUAUCUUAAUCAAAAGUCUAAUAUUGAAGAUAUUAUUAUAAAUAAAUUUACUAAAUA
rnacentral:tRNA from 1 species